rnacentral:rRNA from 1 species
ACCCUUAGGACUGGGAUAACUCUGGGAAACUGGGGAUAAUACUGGAUAUUAGGCUAUGCCUGGAAUGGUUUGCCUUUGAAAUGUUUUUUUUCGCCUAAGGAUAGGUCUGCGGCUGAUUAGGUCGUUGGUGGGGUAAUGGCCCACCAAGCCGAUGAUCGGUACGGGUUGUGAGAGCAAGGGCCCGGAGAUGGAACCUGAGACAAGGUUCCAGACCCUACGGGGUGCAGCAGGCGCGAAACCUCCGCAAUGUACGAAAGUGCGACGGGGGGAUCCCAAGUGUUAUGCUUUUUUGUAUGACUUUUCAUUAGUGUAAAAAGCUUUUAGAAUAAGAGCUGGGCAAGACCGGUGCCAGCCGCCGCGGUAACACCGGCAGCUCGAGUGGUAGCUGUUUUUAUUGGGCCUAAAGCGUUCGUAGCCGGUUUGAUAAGUCUUUGGUGAAAGCUUGUAGCUUAACUAUAAGAAUUGCUGGAGAUACUAU